UGUUAAGAGGCCCCCAAUUUUAUACUAGUAUAUAUAUGUCUAGGUAUACAUCUGAAAAAAAAAUAAUUUAGUUACAUUAUAUUAAUAAAAAAAUCAAAAAUAAGAUGGGAAUUAAUAUCUAAAUUUUGUGAAAAAAUUGAAAAUUUUGUGUGAUCAACUUUUCAAAAACAUAAUCAAAAUACUAAUACAAUAUUAUUAAUCAUACUUUAUUUUUUGUGCUAACUUAAUAAAUACUUACUUAAAUCCAUAACCUAAUAAAUAUGAAAAUGAUUGUUUUAUGUGGAUGUAACCUCAUUCUUGUGAAUAUAAAAUAAAAAGAAACACUAGAGAUUUUAUUGUUCUUUAAUUUUCCCUUCAGGUUAAUUAAUUUUUAAAUUCAGAUUUAAUAAAAUUAUAUAUAUAUAUAUAUAUAUGAAUAUUAUAUAACUAAUUUAGUUUUAAUUUACAUAGUAUGUAAUUUUGUUUGCCUACGAUUUUUAUAUAAUUAUAUAUGUUUAUUUAGACAAAUAAACAUAUAUAAUUAUAUGUUGUAGUGUGCAUGAAGACUAGUGAAACCUGAUGUAAAAAUAUUAUUUUGUAGCAAGUAAAUUAUGUAGUAGUGUGUUUAGGGUGAUUUUAUGUUAAUUUGUAAUGUUUAAAUAUUGUAAAAUUUUGUAUUUGUAUUAUUAAUAUAAUAUCUAAAAAA
rnacentral:lncRNA from 1 species